ncrna:Solanum tuberosum miR1919 stem-loop (stu-MIR1919)
UGUCGCAGAUGACUUUCGCCCUUCUCAUUCAGCCCCUUUCUCUAAAUCUAAUUAAUUUGAUUUCAAUGUGGUAGGACGAGAGUCAUCUGUGACAGG